rnacentral:sRNA from 1 species
CAUGCCAGGCCAGGCCCCGCGCCGAAGGCAUGAAUUUUGGGCUAUCUUUGACAAGCUUCACAUAGAGUGAUUCAGAGAUGGCAGGCAAGAAGCUAGGGUUGUCGCAAGUAGUGUCAUUUUCCAAUAUUCAAAUCCUUUCGAUCUUGCUUUCCUCUUUUUGAAGUCAGCCUGUCUGGAAAGGAAUCUGCUGAAUAGUAAGGGACUACCAAAAUACAUGGCUGUCAAAAAGCGUGGCCUGUGAGAAGUGCACGACUCUCAAGAUAGGUGGCUGAAUCUGGAAGCUGCUCCUUUGCAAGCUAUUUUUAUAUUGUCUCUCCUUUGUGUUUUAAGUUGUCCUCUCACGUACGGGUAUCUAAAAGAUCACCAUGAUACCCCGAAUAUCCCUAAAACCCCUGAUUAUGAUGAUAUGCUACAGGAGACGUUGUUAAAAGCUCUCGGUAGUAAUUCAUCUAUGCUUGCAAUUAUGUGACUCUCCACUUUUUCAUCAUGGCUUCUCCAUAGCAAAUACUCCUUUAGCUGGGUUCAAUUAAACUCUAUCCUCCCUUUCGUCCUUCGGCCCAGGAUUGCCCAUUGCUUUGAGCCUAUUGCCGACCCAAUAUUUUGCCAUAAGUAGGAGGCGAUUUAACAUGUUAAUGAAAUGCAGAAUGACUGGUCAUAAUUCACGAAGCUCUCCAUUUUUGUAUUGUUAACCUUGGUUGGACAGCAGAGAGAGGUAGGAUUGGAUGUUAUGCUGGGUGAAUAUAUAUCCUAGAGGCUAUGCUCAUGAUCCUUGUUCCCAAUUCUCAUAUCCGUUUGCAUCUUUCUCCGUAAACAAUAUCUCUGCUCCUUUGAUAAGAGUCUCCUUUUGAAACCCAUCCUGUUUACUGCCACAAAAUAUCUACAAAACCCCGCCAAAAUGUCGCUCGCAACCCUCCGCAUCGUCAUGGCAUGCGAUGAAAGCCGGCCACAGCUGCAACGAGACCCUAAAACCCCACCUCUCAAAUAACCUUACCCACACAUUGCCGUCCAGGCCAUCCAACUCAUCAAGGGAGGAAGAGCGGACCACACCCUUCUGAUCUGCGGAACUGGCCUGGGUGUGGCGGUUGCGCGCCAAUAAGAUUACGGCCAUCCGCGCCGUUGCCGCCCACGAAUCCAUUCUCCGUAGAGAGAUGAGUUCUCAGCAGCGAUGCCCAGGUGCUCUUCUUUGGCCAGAGGGUUAUGGUUAUUGGCAUCGAUCUGGCGAAGAAGUUGGCUGGUGACUGGCUGACCUACCGCUUUGAUGCCGGAAGUGCCUCCGCAGGCAAGGCGAAAGUUCUUGCAGAGUAUGAGGCCAAAUUUGCUUGUUAGAGUUGUCUCUGGAAGGUCUCUUUUUUAUAUAUGUAAUUUAAACAUCUACAUUGUUUGAAUGCUCAAGCAAAGGGGGUCGAUUCAUCUCCUUCUUUUCCCUCGCUAAAGUAACUGCGCGAAAAUUCCCCAUGAUCAUGAUUCUUCCACAUUUAAUUUUUAUGUAUAUAGACGAGCGUUUCGACUUUUGAAAACCACAUAUACAGACAAGGCGUUAUUCCGAUCAAAGUCGGGAAGAAAAGAUGAAAACUGCACGGUUGCGUAGGCGACACGACUUCCUCUAUUUUCCGUCUCUAAUGCGUAUUUUUCUAACUUCCCCUUUUCACUACCCAGAAGGCACUAUAUGUUGAUAGCUGUCAGACAAAGUAAAAUAUUGUUCCAAGACCCAAAACAAUCCAAUUACUUCUCUACCCCGUCCGCAAUUUCUCGCAUUUCUGCUUUUAUUCUAGUAAUUGUUCCGCUGCCCCCGUAGACCAACCCCGUGUAGAGCAUCGCUAAGUCAGCCCCAGCUUUCAGAGCUUUCGCAGCCUGUUCUCCAUUCAUAAUUCCGCCAGAUGCAAAAAUCACUUUUGGGACCAUGUGGGAUUUCAUUUGUGAUGUCGUGG